rnacentral:rRNA from 1 species
UGGGGAAUAUUGGACAAUGGGCGCAAGCCUGAUCCAGCAAUGCCGCGUGUGUGAAGAAGGCCUGCGGGUUGUAAAGCGCUUUCAGUAGGGAAGAAAAGCCUGAGGUUAAUACCCUCAAGUCUUGACGUAACCUACAGAAGAAGCACCGGCUAACUCCGUGCCAGCAGCCGCGGUAAUACGGAGGGUGCGAGCGUUAAUCGGAAUUACUGGGCGUAAAGCGCGCGUAGGCGGUUUGGUCAGUCGGAUGUGAAGGCCCUGGGCUCAACCUGGGAAUUGCAUUCGAUACUGCCUGACUAGAGUAUGGUAGAGGGAAGUGGAAUUUCCGGUGUAGCGGUGAAAUGCGUAGAUAUCGGAAGGAACACCAGUGGCGAAGGCGACUUCCUGGGCCAAUACUGACGCUGAGGUGCGAAAGCGUGGGGAGCAAACAGGAUUAGAUACCCGUGUAGUCC